rnacentral:lncRNA from 1 species
UAUUAAUACUAAAUAUUACAAAUGGAUACAACAAAUUAUUAGGGACAAGUGUAAAUUAUAUAGAUACAAAAUAUAAUGAGACAUUUUUACAAAGAAAUAAAUAUACUAAUUAUUAAUCCGUCACUGUUACAAGUUACAAAACAGAAUGAUCAAGCAGCCCGCACUCGUGAUUUUACAAUCGUGUAGACAUUAUUAUAUCAUACUUCAAAUACACUAAAAAAUACUUAUUAAAUAAAUUGCACAUCUACAUGUUGGAAUCCAUGGAGCAGACCCAGUUGUUAACUCUAAGAAACGGAUAUUAGACAAACACCUUGCUCACUAUUUGAAGCUAAGAUCCCGUUUGAGACCAUUUAGGAAGUUGUUCUUUGUUAUUCGUAAAUCCAGAUACAAGUUAACCUACAAAAUCAGGGCCUGCAUUUUUUAUGAUACGAAAAUACUGAAACUCUUCAGAUAUGUUCCCCAAGAGAUAGGACCAAAGUCAGAUAAAGAAAAUCGAAGAAAUAUACUUCUAACAUGAUCAUCCAUCUCAAGAGAGCAGAUUCGACUCCUUCUUUACGAAGGAAAUUCCAAGAUUGCAACAUUGAAGAAAUCUAUUCAUGAUGAGUAGGGAAUUUCAAUAUUUAAAAUGUAAUUAGUAUUUACUUUAUUUGAAUUUGUACGAAGCAUAGUAUUAUAUAGUGAUAUUAAUUAUUAUUAUUUAAUUACGAAGUAUAACGUCUUAAUCGUUACAUUGAAAUUGUGAACAUUAUUAAGAUAAUUUAUUAAAGUAUUAUAACGUUUGUUUAUUAUAGUAAGUUAAAUAAGUAUGGGUAAAUUUAAAAAAAAUACAAUUAAAAAAAAUAAUUUUAUUAAUUAUAAAUUUUAAUAGAAGUUAUAAGGAGAGAAUCAGGCAAAUUUAAAAUGACAUAUGAACGAUAUAGAAGUUAUUAAUAUAAAAUAAAACAAGUAGAUUCAACAAAUUAGUGACACUAUACAUAUACAAAAUGAAAUGAGACAUUUUUAUUCAGAAAUAAAUAAAUUCAUUAGCAGAAUGGAAUAGGCAUUGACAAUGCAGACAAAACUAUCGAGAAAAGAGAGGCACAUUAUCUUUAAGAGUCUGUAAGUAUCUUCCACUCGUCUUCCAAUGACAAAAUAGGGACACGAGUAAUAAAUAAAUCAAAGGUCCAGGUUAUAUAAAUAUAAUUAGCAUAUAGAUCAUACAUCACAAAGUCACCUUAUAAAUGGAAUUGUGAUUGAGACAAGUUAUACCUGCGUUAUAUUAAUUAAGAAAACUGAAGGACUCUUAUCAAUGAAAUGUGGAUGUAGGAUGUCUAUUCUGUCUUUUUAUGGAACACAUUAUUUCUUAUGGCUGUAUACUAUUAUUCUGUAAAAGAUUUGUUGGAAUUUAUCACUGAUAACAAAGCUGCUAGGCUACAAGGUGACUAUAUAAGGCGUGUUGAUAAGAAACUUGCGAUGUCGUCUGGUUGAUGUUAGCAGACAACUUUUUUGAUGGCGUUACAACGGACCCAAGUUCAGUGUUACUCCCUACUGAUAAGUGAUAAUUGGCUAUAGUUAAAGAUAAAUACUAGAAGCCGAAGGAGGAUAAAAAAGUUGUAAACUGCGUGAAAAUACAUUUAAUUCAUGUAUACCUUUCGUACGAAGGAUACUGAUAUAUUCAUCCGCAUCCAUCCUUUCCUAGAAACUCAUAUUUUUUUCUAUUUUGAUAUCCAAUACGUCUUCUGAUCCUCUCUACAACUUCAUGUUAAAGGGAUCUCACCUCUUAGUAUUUGUCCCUCACUUGGUGGAUAUCAUCUUAUUUAAUGGAAGAAUCCUGGAUUGUGGAAAUGCGCUUGACUUCUGAGCUUGUGAAUCAUUCCAUCUAUGAUCAAGAAUACAUAAAUUCUUCUUGAUCUUUUGCGAGAUCAUUGUAUAAUUCUACAUAUAAGAACUAUGGAGUUCCAUAAAACGACAUAAUAAUCGACUGAAAGAUCGAAUGAUCACCUAUUAAGGAAGACUGAGACUAUAUAUAAAUUAUUGUCUAUAGCAUUGUAAGUAUGGAAAAGCAAAAAAAAGAAGAAGAAAUACGAUAAACUACCAUUAGUUAGCUUGUAAAUUUGAACUACAUUUAAGUCGUUUAUGAGUAUUUUUCAAUAUAUUCUCAUUAAAUAAGGGAUCUACAAUACUUCCAAUAAAUAAUAACGAAUACAAGUACAUAUAAGUAUAAUACUAUUACCAUAUUGAGUUAAAGUACUAGUAGCACUUGAAGUAGAUGGUGCACAACCUGUGGGUCAGGAAUGAGUCAUACUCAUAAACAUAUUAUAAGAGUUCCUUAUCCCACUUUAUAAAAGGGUCAUAAAUAAUUAUUUGAUCGUCUGAAUAUAAUAUAAAUUGUAAUGAAAUUGCACACGGUAAUAAUAUCUUGCGAUGAAAUUACUUACAAUCAAAAAUAUUUUUCUGCAAAAGAACACUCAAUAAUUGACCUAUAUGACUUAUAGAGCAUAUGGGCAAUGCUUAUUUAUCAUGACAUCAUAUUUAUGACAUUACCACCAAAAAGUUUUCGAGAAUUUGUUCGGAACAUUUUACUCCGGAAUCCUUCAAUCGGACUCUGGAUGUUGUAAGGCUGAGAGAAAAUGCUGUGUCUACUCUAUUCAAAUCAUUCCCGCCUCUCCUUCAAGAAGAAGUUGCAAGAACUUUUCGAAAACGCAAGUAUCCUACAAGGAGGUCCUCAUCACCUAAAAAGGUCAAACCAUCUCCUGGACUCGAGAUAUAUCCUUCCCACUUUGAGGGUACGGAAAAUGCGCAAUUGGAUCAUCCCUAUUCUCUCCCAUAAGCUGAAGUAAUUAAGGAGAAGCUCCAAUGGCAAACGAAUAUGAUUUCCGAGCUUGCAGACCGUUCUCAAAAAUACAGAUAUCAACGGAGUACUAUCUCCAAGAAGUUAAGAAACUUGGUUGACGUUCUAUAAGACCUGAGGUCCAAGAGAAUGCUAUCAGAAGAGGCUUUAUCCAUUCUUGAUACAAUGUCUGACGUUCCUAAAAACCUUUUAAAAAGGAUGCAAAUCGGAAGUGGUAUAAAGGGAAGUCGGAGUAGCUACUCACCUGAGCUCUGAGCAUUUGCUUUGACAUAGUCAUUCUACUCAACGAAAGCAUAAAGUUAUGUAAGAAAGACAUUUGACUUAUGCCUACCUAGUCUCAGUACCAUUCGAAACUGGAAUUCGAAUGUGGAUAGUGAUCCGGGUUUUACUCAAUCUUCCUUUUAUAUUCUUAAAUCGAACGCCAAUAAAGCUCUCGAAAAUGCAUGCCAUUGUAUAAAAUUAGUUAGAAAUACGUUUGUAUCUAUCAAAGUUAUGGGGGAUAAAGAUGGUAGAAAGGUCGAAUGGAGGUUUCUCGAAGAGUUGGAAAAACUUCAAACAUCCGAAAGACUACGGGCUGAAAAUUAACUUAGCAAAAUGCACAUGAACUUCCAUAAUAUGAAAUGAAGGUAAAGUUGGCUACUCAACUUCUCAGCGCGUCUGUAGCAGAUGCGAUAGAAUUUUGCGAUAAAUACCUUCAAAUCUCCUCUCUGUAUUUUAAUGAAGUCUUUUGGAAACCAUUUAUUGAAGAAGUACUACCGCAUCUUAACGAAUUGAAGGAUGAAUCUGGCAAUCCUUUCGUCAAAACGAAGAAAAGAACAGCUUUUGUUGGACUCAUGGCAUCCAUAACUUCAAUUAGUGACAUAUUCGAUUCCUUUGUAAAGUAAAAUCGAAAAUGAUGAAGUAUCUUUUAACAUACUAUCUCAAGUAGAUAUCUAUCAGGAGCGAACCGGGUACCUGGUUUGGUUAGGUGCUGUUUUAUUGGUUCGGUUCGUUCCGGUAUUUAAAUUAAAUACAUUUUCUUUUUUAUAAUACCCGGUACGGUCGGCUCAUCCUAUUUAUACAUAUUAAUUUCACUUUAAACCCUAUUUAUUCCUAAUUAUUUUUCAGGAUCAUAUCGAAUUAUUCUUCUGUGCCAUACGAUCGCAUUUAGGGAAUAAUAAUAAUCCAACUUGUCCAAUGUUUUCCUCCAUUUACAAGGGGCUAUUAGUCAGACAUCAUAUUUCUGACGGCGGAGACAAUUGCAUAAGACUCGAUGAUGUUGCACUCUUCACUAAAUCAAAGAACAGAAGUCAUAUAAUACCUGGAUGAUGAAGAUUUAUCCCUGAUUAAGAAAUAUGGCCUGGAAGAAAAACAUUUACUUUUCCAAGACCAUGACUAUUGCGAUGUGCCUCCUUUUGUGCAACCCCUUACACAAUUCAAAGAAUGCGUGGUUGCUUAUAUCACUGGAUAUGUAGUAAGGUCAGUUUCCAAGUACUUAGUAUUCCUUGAGUGCUUAGAAGCUCUUUACUGUCAUAAUCCAUGUAACUACCGCAAUUAUUUAAUUGCGAGGAAAUCCAAUGGAUGUCUCCUUUAUCAUCAAAAAGUGUAUUGAAAAUAUGUAUAGGAACUGAAAAAUGUCUCUUGAGACUCAAAAUUCAAGGAGUUCUCAAGACCGAAGCUACUGUGAUACAAAACACUAUUACCAGCCGUGUCCUACAAAUAUACAAUUAUAAAUUCUAGAUAUUUAAGGAACUUGAAUCUCAUAAUCUUGACAGCUCACCAUUAACCAUAUCCUUAAAUUACAAAAACGUAUUAUCUUGACAUAUUCUAAAAUUAGGCUUCAUCAUGAAGCCAGCCUCAUUUCUGUGCAUUUUAAAAAAGAAUUUAUACUUUAUUGUUGGUUCUGAUGCAACAUGGCUUCUCAAAGAACACCGACUUUAUUGUAUAACAUUUGUUAUCAAUGAGAAGGAUAAGGUCACGGAGCAAGAUAUAAGCAUUAACAGACGACAUAGUACAUAAAUGAAUUUGGAUUAAAAGGGCAAGGAGAAGAACUUGAAUCUUAUCCUUAUCUUAAGCCUUGUACAGCUUCGAGAAUAUCGUUGUGCCUUCCAAUGUUCGAAGUGAGAGAGAAGUCUCCGAUAUAUCUUCAUAUACAAAUUAUAAGUACCUUUGAUUGCUACCGACAGCUGACGGUUGACUCUCCUUUUCUUUGCCUAUUGAGUAUCCAGUUAUUAAUUAUUAUAUAGGUCAGAAGAACUCAUUGGGUCAUAGAGAUAAAAAAUAUAGUGCUUACUUGAUGAAAAGAUUGAAGGGAGAAACAGCUGAUGAAUACAAACAACAUAAGGAUCAAAACAUUCAAAUUAUUAUCUUAUCAAAAUGACAAGUAUAAAUAUAAAAUCUCUAAAAUGCGAAAUAGUUCUUAUUUAUGUUAUAAUAAUUCAUCUCUAAAAGGAAUAUUUACGAUUGGUAUUUAAAUUGCCCUUGAAUCGCAUGAAGCCUAUAACAACACGAUGAAGAACAUUUUCAUAAUUGAUUUUUUUUUAUAAAUUCCUAAUAUUCUCAUUUGUUCUAGUACUUACUAAUUUUAAUAAAAAAUGUUUUAGAAUAUUUAAGAUAAA